CACGUAGGGUGCGAGCGUUGUCCGGAAUUAUUGGGCGUAAAGAGCUCGUAGGCGGUGUGUCGCGUCAGCCGUGAAAACCUGCAGCUUAACUGUGGGCGUGCGGUCGAUACGGGCAUCACUGGAGUUCGGCAGGGGAGACUGGAAUUCCUGGUGUAGCGGUGAAAUGCGCAGAUAUCAGGAGGAACACCGGUGGCGAAGGCGGGGUCUCUGGGCCGAUACUGACGCUGAGGAGCGAAAAGCGUGGGGGAGCGAACAGG
rnacentral:rRNA from 1 species